UGCCAGCAGCCGCGGUAAUACGGAGGGCGCAAGCGUUACUCGGAAUCACUGGGCGUAAAGAGCGUGUAGGCGGGUUAAUAAGUUUGAAGUGAAAUCCAAUGGCUCAACCAUUGAACUGCUUUGAAAACUGUUAACCUAGAAUAUGGGAGAGGUAGAUGGAAUUUCUGGUGUAGGGGUAAAAUCCGUAGAGAUCAGAAGGAAUACCGAUUGCGAAGGCGAUCUACUGGAACAUUAUUGACGCUGAGACGCGAAAGCGUGGGGAGCAAACAGGAUUAGAUA
rnacentral:rRNA from 1 species